rnacentral:rRNA from 1 species
UGCGCAGGCGGACUUUUAAGUCAGUGGUGAAAUCCCGAGGCUCAACCUCGGAACUGCCAUUGAUACUGGAAGUCUUGAAUUUGGUUGAAGUGGGCGGAAUGUAGCAUGUAGCGGUGAAAUGCUUAGAUAUGCUACAGAACACCGAUAGCGAAGGCAGCUCACUAAGCCAAUAUUGACGCUCAGGCAAGAAAGCGUGGGGAGCAAACAGGAUUAGAUACCCUGGUAGUCC